CUUCUUCGAUUUGUUGCGGGCAAAUAAAAUGGAUGUGAGCGUCUAUGCCGCCGGCGGUGACGAUCAUGCCUUCGCCGGCGAUGGCCUCGGUGCCGGCGCCGACGAUGAUGUCGACGUUGGGUUGCACGCCGGGAUUACCGGCUUUGCCGAUGGCGGCGAUGCGGCCGUUUUUGAUGCCGAUGUCGGCUUUCACAAUUCCCCAGUGGUCAAGAAUUAAGGCGUUAGUGAUUACCACAUCCAUGGCGUCCUUGGCGGUGUUUUGGCUUUGUCCCAUGCCGUCACGAAUG
rnacentral:sRNA from 1 species